AACGAACGCUGGCGGCGUGCCUAACACAUGCAAGUCGAGCGCGAAUGGAGCAAUCCUAGUAGAGCGGCGCACGGGUGCGUAACACGUGGGUAAUCUGCCUCAAAGCCCGGGAUAACCUGCCGAAAGGCAAGCUAAUACCGGAUAAGCCUACGGACUCUUCGGGGUCUGAAGGAAAAGGUGGCCUCUGUAUACAAGCUAUCACUUUGAGAUGAGCCCGCGGCCCAUCAGCUCGUUGGCGGGGUAACGGCCCACCAAGGCAACGACGGGUAGCUGGUCUGAGAGGACGAUCAGCCACACUGGAACUGAGACACGGUCCAGACUCCUACGGGAGGCAGCAGUGGGGAAGUUUUGCGCAAUGGGCGAAAGCCUGACGCAGCAACGCCGCGUGUGUGAUGAAGGUCUUC
rnacentral:rRNA from 1 species